CCAUAGAGGGAUAGAAAUUUUCCUCUUUUAUCUUUUAUAAAAGCUUUCCAUCUCUUCUCCCCAUAUUCAAGCCUAAUAUAGUUUCUAAAAAGUGAGUCCUCCACCACUUUUAUGCUGCCAUGCAGUUGCAUUCACUAGGAAUGUUUCUAGGCAGAUUGGAUUUUUGCAAAAGAAAUGGAGUGCCCCUCACAGAGCCCGGCUCCUCAGCAGCUGGCAGGCAUGGGUGCUGCAGCACUUGAAGUGUAAUAUCUUGUAAGAAAGAGGAGUCCUGGCACUGCAAAACAGCUGUAAAGCAAACAGGGAACGGCUGCAGUUCUUAGGACCUUUGCUGAUUGAAUGGUUGCAUGGUGUGAUGUUACUUAAUGAUCCUCUUAGACUAUUAAGAAUCAGGCAAGGCUUUUUUUUUUUCCCCAUCCUUGCAUCACCAAGAUGAAAGCUUCCACAAAGCUGGCACUGGCACAGACUGCACAGCUGGACAAGGUGAUGAGGUUUAUUUCUGUGACUAAAAACAUGAAGCCUUUCUAGCACUCGUGAUCUGUCCUCUUCCCAGAAGAGAAGCAUUUGUACCCCCAGCGUUUACUGACAAGUGCUCGCGAGUGCUGCAGUUCUUGGAUGCUGGCCUAUUGCGCAAAUAUAUGGCCAAUCCCACUGGCUGAGAUCAGAAGAUGCUCUGGGAGGUGCUUGGCAGCAACACCACUGCAGGGAGAAUAGAGCGCUGCUGUUGUCUGUGCGUGCGUAUGCUGGAGCCCGGAGGGUACAGAUUCUCUGGCCAGGACAGCCAUGCUCAGAGGAGCAGUACAGGGACCUUGAACCCUCUCUGACCGGAAUAACCUGGCAAAUGCAGGCACUGUCUGCCCUGAGCUCUGUGGGUCUCUUGUUUCCUGGAGCAGUUUGGGUUGUGAUUUUUUUUUUUUUAUGUUUUUCCUUUUGCCAGUUUCCCCAGGAGAGGGAGCAGGCCGCACAAAUGAUGUCGGGGGGGAAUGAACCAGCUCGCUGCAGCUUUAGCUAAAAGGCAUUUGUUAUGUUGCUGUGAAUUCCUUCUUUCUUU
ensembl:lncRNA